rnacentral:rRNA from 1 species
GGUAACCUGCCCAUCAGAAGGGGAUAACACUUGGAACCAGGUGCUAAUACCGUAUAACACUAUUUUCCGCAUGGAAGAAAGUUGAAAGGCGCUUUUGCGUCACUGAUGGAUGGACCCGCGGUGCAUUAGCUAGUUGGUGAGGUAACGGCUCACCAAGGCCACGAUGCAUAGCCGACCUGAGAGGGUGAUCGGCCACACUGGGACUGAGACACGGCCCAGACUCCUACGGGAGGCAGCGGUAGGGAAUCUUCGGCAAUGGACGAAAGUCUGACCGAGCAACGCCGCGUGAGUGAAGAAGGUUUUCGGAUCGUAAAACUCUGUUGUUAGAGAAGAACAAGGAUGAGAGUAGAACGUUCAUCCCUUGACGGUAUCUAACCAGAAAGCCACGGCUAACUACGUGCCAGCAGCCGCGGUAAUACGUAGGUGGCAAGCGUUGUCCGGAUUUAUUGGGCGUAAAGCGAGCGCAGGCGGUUUCUUAAGUCUGAUGUGAAAGCCCCCGGCUCAACCGGGGAGGGUCAUUGGAAACUGGGAGACUUGAGUGCAGAAGAGGAGAGUGGAAUUCCAUGUGUAGCGGUGAAAUGCGUAGAUAUAUGGAGGAACACCAGUGGCGAAGGCGGCUCUCUGGUCUGUAACUGACGCUGAGGCUCGAAAGCGUGGGGAGCGAACAGGAUUAGAUACCCUGGUAGUCCACGCCGUAAAC